GCGACCGUACUUCCCAGGCGGCAGACUUAACGGCUUCCCUGCGGCACAGCAUUGGCCAUAAACCAACGCUUCACCGAGUCUGCAUCGUUUACAGCUGGGACUACCCGGGUAUCUAAUCCGGUUUGCUCCCCCAGCUUUCAUCCCUCACUGUCGAACGUGUUCUGGCAGACCGCCUUCGCCACUGGUGGUCUUCAAAGGAUCAGAGGAUUUUACCCCUACCCCCCGAGUACCGUCUGCCUCUCCCACUCCCUAGUCUUGUAGUAUCUCCAGCGGCCCAUCUGUUGAGCAGGUGGAUUUAACCGGAGACUUGCAAGACCAGCUACGGAUGCUUUAGGCCC
rnacentral:rRNA from 1 species